UAAAAUGUGAGUAAAAUACUUUU
rnacentral:piRNA from 1 species